rnacentral:rRNA from 1 species
UACGGAGGGUGCAAGCAUUAAUCGGAAUUAUUGGGCGUAAAGGGCGCGCAGGCGGGAAUGUAAGACAGAUGUGAAAUCCCGGGGCUCAACCCCGGAACAGCAUUUGAAACUGCAUACCUAGAGGGUAGUCGGAGAAGACAGAAUUCCACAAGUAGCAGUGAAAUGCGUAGAUAUGGGGAAGAAUACCGGUGGCGAAGGCGGUUUUCUAGAUUAUACCUGACGCUGAGGCGCGAAAGCAAGGGGAUCAAACAGG